UGAGAUGAUAUGAUUAAGUGGUAGAAAUGUUUAAUUACAGGAAGAGCUAAAGAUCCCUAUGAUGAUGGGCUCCCUACCCCACAAAGAAAAUUUGAAAAGGAGACAGAAAAGGGUACACAUUUUUAAAAAUUGGGGGCCUACCUCUAUGCCCAUGUGAACCACUUGAAAUUAAGAUAGAAAGGAAUCAAAUCGCAUAGGCCAAAUUCUCACUGUACAUAAUCUGAAUAUAAUAAAGAAGUGGUCCCAACUUUACCCCCGAGUUGAAGUUUCCACUCAGGCUCGCAGAAGACGUAAAGAAGGUGGAAACCUGUGGUGGCGGGCCCAUCCAUUUAAUUUUCUAGAAGUACUGCUAUUAUGGGUUGAAAGCAACCCGUUCGCAUUAGUCUAAUAUUUAUAAAUAAUGAUGUUCUCCUUGUCUGGGGCCUGACGCCUAAGUGUGGUGGGGGAGAUGUAGAUAACUAGAGAUAUAUAUUAGACAAUUUAGACAGCCUCCUCCUCCCCCAGUCAGAGGGUUGGUGGAAAGUUGAAACACAGGGGAAGGGGAAAUGGGUGUGUUGAAGCUUUACGUGGUGAUGGUGUUGCUGUUGGUGAGUAAUCUCUCCACGCAGAAAACGAGAGCUGUGGAAGGCAGGCUGCUUUCAUCCUCCUCCUCCUCCUCACGACAGAGGUACUGGAAGAUUUUCACAACCCUGGGGAUGGUAUGCAAGUGCUGUGAUGGCGUGGGAGGCGAAUGCACAAGUACAUGGAAUAUGUCUUGCUCUAACCUCCAAUGUUCACCCUGGAAAUCACACUGAUUUCUCUGUACAGUUUCUAGUUUUCCUUGCUGUUGUACAUGUAUCUUGGGAUUUAUACCAAUUAAUAUGAGAUGCAGCAGGUUGUCGCCCGUA